AUGAUGCGGCCGUGGCAGGUUGAAAACUAUGGUGCAGCAAUAGUUGAGGUACUGAUCUUAAUCAACGGCUCAGCUAAUCUGGGACUAAGCGCCCUGGACCGGAGAGACGACGGUGGCGGUGCUACUGCAGCAGAGCAAGAGGCUCGUUGGAUUGAGGCUUGGGCAUCAGCCAAAUGGAAACAGCGGCGGCGCAGAAACAUGAGGAUGGCUCCAGUAGUUGGAUCUGAAAGGCAGCUGCCAGAUCCAGCUUGGAGAAGCGAGGAAUCGACUCAAGAAAGGAGAUGGGAUGGAUCCAAUCGGGUUGAGAUAGGCAGGGAACGGGCAAGGAAGAGGAAGAACAGGGCAGCGGGAGAGGAGCAGGGGAUCGUCACCGGACAAGGCAGAUCCAGAGGGACCAACCACAUGGCUGAUGGAUUGGGAAAGAGAAAGGAGAUGGGACAGAGGAGAUAA
rnacentral:rRNA from 1 species